AUUUUAGCAGCAGGUUUCGAUGAUUACCAAGUUGCAACGUGUUCCUCAAACUCGGAUCUUCUUCAAAAUGGAUUCCGUUGUGAAGACAGCUGCACUGAUACUUGCUGGCAUUUGUGUAUGGUGGAGAAAUUUGGUCAGAUAAAUGGAAGUGUCUCAAGUAAUUGUUCCUGCAAGCCGUAUUUUCCAGCGUUACCGUCAUGGUGUUACACUGUUUCUGGUCAUUGUGCUUUUAACAACUGUACUCUUCUAAAAUACGCGCCCAUGGGUUGUUCCCCUGAAAAUCAUUUAAACUGGUAUCAGUUUUAUAAUUUUCUGUGCAAGAUUGUGAAUGACUUUUUUAGGUACCUUGAUUGUAAUACAAAAAUUUGGUUGGAUGGUUUCCGAAAAUGUUCGCAGCAAUAUUUGAUUGACAAUAUCAUUGUUGGUAGUGUUAAUUGUUCUGAUUUGGAAAUGAAAGGAGAGGAAGCUUUUAAUACAUGUAUUCAAGGACGCUACAACAGUACAACAUUUUGUGAGUUGCCAAAUUCAAGUGACAAAAAUGACAUAAGAGAGUCUAUACGGACACUUGAAACACAGGCACGAUCAUUUCUCCCCGAAUUUAACAUUACCGCUGGUGUUCAGUUCUUAAACUGCCCAUCCACAUGAUGAUACCAGCAUGUAUUGGAGAACAGAAUUUGCCCUCUGAAUAGGGACUUAUACACAUAGUUAAACUUGUUGUUCAUGAUUUGUUGAUGAUUUUCUUUGUAGAAAUCUUUUAACGUUUUUAAAAGAAAGAAUAGUCCAAUACUGGUAUCCUGAUAAAUACUAGUAUCUAUAUACAAUUGUGCAUCGGAAUAAGUUUAAACAUGUAGAUUAGAUGUUUAAUUAUUCAAAGGAGAAAGGAUUACAACUUGUGCUUAUAACAAAUACAUGUACUUUUAGUGCUACUUUCUAGGAAAGUCUUAGUUUAAAAAAACACAUUUGACUCAUUUCACCAUCCUGUAGUCUUAUACACAUUCCUCACGAGAUCAUUUGAUAAGCAUAAAUAUGAAAAAUAUAGACAAGCGUAUGUUGGGUAAUACCACUAAAGUAUUGAUUGAUAUAAUUUCUCUUAAUUCUCUCUAUAAAAAGUGUAAAUAAAAUUGUUUCCGUUGAUAUGCAUUAUAAAGAAUAAUUUACCUAAUGAUGCCUUAUUAUAUCAAUACAUUUAUACUGAAGUUUAGUUUUAUGGUAUUUAUUUCGGUGGUUGGUAGUAAAACUAUAUGUGGAUCUUUUAUUUAUACAAUCUUUUAUAUUGUUGUUUAGAAAAAAACUAUGAUAUGUAGAAAGAAAUUGAAAUCAAUAUAAUAAAGUCAUCCAUAUUGG
rnacentral:misc_RNA from 1 species